rnacentral:rRNA from 1 species
GACGAACGCUGGCGGCGUGCCUAAUACAUGCAAGUCGAACGAACCGCGACUAGGUGCUUGCACUUGGUCAAGGUGAGUGGCGAACGGGUGAGUAACACGUGGGUAACCUACCUCAUAGUGGGGGAUAACAGUCGGAAACGACUGCUAAUACCGCAUAGGACAUAGGAUCACAUGAUCCAGUGAGGAAAGGUGGCGCAAGCUAUCGCUAAGAGAUGGACCCGCGGUGCAUUAGCUAGUUGGUAGGGUAAAGGCCUACCAAGGCGAUGAUGCAUAGCCGACCUGAGAGGGUGAUCGGCCACAUUGGGACUGAGACACGGCCCAAACUCCUACGGGAGGCAGCAGUAGGGAAUCUUCCGCAAUGGACGCAAGUCUGACGGAGCAACGCCGCGUGAGUGAAGAAGGUCUUCGGAUCGUAAAGCUCUGUUGUUAGAGAAGAACAGCGCAUAGAGUAACUGUUAUGCGUGUGACGGUAUCUAAACAGAAAGCCACGGCUAACUACGUG